rnacentral:rRNA from 1 species
GAUGAACGCUGGCGGCGUGCCUAAUACAUGCAAGUCGAGCGAACAGACGAGGAGCUUGCUCCUCUGACGUUAGCGGCGGACGGGUGAGUAACACGUGGAUAACCUACCUAUAAGACUGGGAUAACUUCGGGAAACCGGAGAUAAUACCGGAUAAUAUAUUGAACCGCUUGGUUCAAUAGUGAAAGACGGUUUUGCCGUCACUUAUAGAUGGAUCCGCGCCGCAUUAGCUAGUUGGUAAGGUAACGGCUUACCAAGGCGACGGUGCGUAGCCGACCUGAGAGGGUGAUCGGCCACACUGGAACUGAGACACGGUCCAGACUCCUACGGGAGGCAGCAGUGGGGAAUCUUCCGCAAUGGGCGCAAGCCUGACGGAGCAACGCCGCGUGAGUGAUGAAGGUCUUCGGGUCGUAAAGCUCUGUUAUUAGGGAAGAACAGAAGUAUAUGUAUCUCUGCCCGUCUUGACGGUACCUAAUCAAAAAGCCCCGGCUAACUACGUG